rnacentral:lncRNA from 1 species
AGAAGCAACCUUGAGAAUAACGACGUCACCAUUAUACAUGAUUCUCAAUCAUGUGGUUCAGUCUCUCAUUUAAGUUCGGAUCGUGAUGAGACCUUGAUUCCCUGGCUUGAGCUAUCGCCCCAUUAGUGUCGUAGUGUCAGUACACUAGAGACACUUUCUAGUUGGAACCGAAUAGAGAGUUCAUAAAUGAACUUUCCCAUCCAAACAACAUUGUUGUAAACUUCUAUAUGGCAAUAUAUUUUGCAUUCACAAUGGAACACACUAAAGUCAUUACUUUUAAUGUUUCCAUCCAAAUAUCUCUUUUAGUCAUAAUAAAGAGAUAUCUGAUUAUCUCUUCAUUCAUAAUGAAGAAACAUCCAAUGAUGGAUUAGAUUCAUAAUCUAAUACAUUUACGCUUCCUUUACGUUACUCUAAUUCUUCCUCAUUCUUUGAGGAAUCUAUCCUUUAGUAUUUCUUAAAUACUUAAGGACUCACUUGAUAGUUGCCAUGGUUCUGAUCCUGGGCUUGCACUGAUAUCGUCUUGUACCUUUCUAGGUACAACUCAUAUCAAUGUUUUUCAUACAAUAUGAAAUACAUAAAUCACCUUUGUGCGUAUGCAUAAAGGAUUCUAUUUACGCAUUAUUUCUUUGGGAGUCAAAGGGUACGUUCCCUUUGAGAAGGGCAACUUGCUAGUCUCACUAGAGUCAUCCUUCUAUUUGAAGUUUAUCAUCAUAUGAGAAACUUCCUAGCAUCUCUUGUCUAUUAUUAGGGAUUGAUAUAAUCGAAUUAUAUCUUGAAAUAUAUCAUUAUAGAUUUCUAUCCCAUGUAUAUAGACUAUGUCUCCCAUAUCCAUUCUAUCGUUAUAGAUUGUUUAAAGUCAUAACUUUAACGAAGAAGUAUUCUUUUCAUUUCCAAAAUUAAUAUAUCAUAUAUGUGUAUAUAUAUAUAUAUAUAUAUAAUAUAUAUAUAUAUAUAUAUAUAUAUAUAUAUAUAUAUAUAAAUUUAGGAAUAUGAUUAACUCCCACUAAUCUUUUGUAAACCUAGUAAACAAAAGAUUCAUUCACAUCUUUAUGAGAAAUCAAA